CCUACGGGAGGCAGCAGUGGGGAAUAUUGCACAAUGGGCGAAAGCCUGAUGCAGCGACGCCGCGUGAGGGAUGACGGCCUUCGGGUUGUAAACCUCUUUCAGCAGGGAAGAAGCGAAAGUGACGGUACCUGCAGAAGAAGCGCCGGCUAACUACGUGCCAGCAGCCGCGGUAAUACGUAGGGCGCAAGCGUUGUCCGGAAUUAUUGGGCGUAAAGAGCUCGUAGGCGGCUUGUCACGUCGGGUGUGAAAGCCCGGGGCUUAACCCCGGGUCUGCAUUCGAUACGGGCUAGCUAGAGUGUGGUAGGGGAGAUCGGAAUUCCUGGUGUAGCGGUGAAAUGCGCAGAUAUCAGGAGGAACACCGGUGGCGAAGGCGGAUCUCUGGGCCAUUACUGACGCUGAGGAGCGAAAGCGUGGGGAGCGAACAGGAUUAGAUACCCUGGUAGUCCACGCCGUAAACGGUGGGAACUAGGUGUUGGCGACAUUCCACGUCGUCGGUGCCGCAGCUAACGCAUAAGUUCCCGCCUGGGAGUACGGCCGCAAGGCUAAAACNCAAAGGAAUUGACGGCGUUGAGAGUUGCGAGNGACACGAGGGAGAG
rnacentral:rRNA from 1 species